GAUGAACGCUGGCGGUGUGCCUAAUACAUGCAAGUCGAACGAACGGACGAGAAGCUUGCUCUUUUGGGGUUAGCGGCGGACGGGUGAGUAACACGUGGAUAACCUACCUAUAUUACUGGGAUAACUUCGGGGAACAGGAGCUAAUACCGGAUAAUAUUUUGAACCGCGUGGGUCAAAAGUGAAAGACGGUCUUGCUGUCACUUAUAGAUGGAUCCGCGUUGCAUUAGCUAGUUGGUAAGGUAACGGCAUACCAAGGCAACGAUGCAUAGCCGACCUGAGAGGGUGAUCGGCCACACUGGAACUGAGACACGGUCCAGACUCCUACGGGAGGCAGCAGUAGGGAAUCUUGCGCAAUGGGCGAAAGCCUGACGGAGCAACGCCGCGUGAGUGAUGAAGGUCUUCGGAUCGUAAAACUCUGUUAUUAGGGAAGAACAGAUGUAUAAGUAACUGUGGACAUCUUGACGGUACCUAAACAGAAAGCCACGGCUAACUACGUG
rnacentral:rRNA from 1 species